CCGUUUGCAGAUACGUGGGGCCACAUGGACUGGGAGUGUGAGUACCAGUGUGAGGCCAGGGAGAACCCAUGUGAAUUCCCAGCUAUCUCCUCCCCUUCUGAGGGGAUCACAGAGCCAGCGGAUGCAUCAGGAGACAUGGAAUUGAAGAAGCCUGGGUCGCUCUAUCUCCACAUCAAAGUGAGUUAUCCUGGCGAGUCAGCAGACCUACAGUGGAUGAUGCCCGUGCCCCAGAACAUCUGUCAGCAUGAGGCUGGGAGAUAUUUCAUGUCCUGGAAGCUUUGCAUUUGCUCCUGUUAUCACUGACAUGAAGGGCUAUUGCCCUGUUUCAGGUGCUGCUAGCAAAGGGGAAAACCACAGAAAAGGAAGAAACUGGAAGAAAACUUCAACCAACUGUGCAAUUAAUUAAAUGGCAAUAAAUAAAAACUUGAGAAAUCA